rnacentral:rRNA from 1 species
UGGGGAAUAUUGCACAAUGGGCGCAAGCCUGAUGCAGCCAUGCCGCGUGUAUGAAGAAGGCCUUCGGGUUGUAAAGUACUUUCAGCGGGGAGGAAGGGAGUAAAGUUAAUACCUUUGCUCAUUGCCGUUAUCCGCAGAAGAAGCACCGGCUAACUCCGUGCCAGCAGCCGCGGUAAUACGGAGGGUGCAAGCGUUAAUCGGAAUUACUGGGCGUAAAGCGCACGCAGGCGGUUUGUUAAGUCAGAUGUGAAAUCCCCGGGCUCAACCUGGGAACUGCAUCUGAUACUGGCAAGCUUGAGUCUCGUAGAGGGGGGUAGAAUUCCAGGUGUAGAGGUGAAAUGCGUAGAGAUCUGGAGGAAUACCGGUGGAGAAGGCGGCCCCCUGGACGAAGACUGACGCUCAGGUGCGAAAGCGUGGGGAGCAAACAGG